rnacentral:rRNA from 1 species
AACGCGAAGAACCUUACCUGGGCUUGACAUGCAUCGUGUCGCCGGUGAAAGCCGGCUAGUGUAGCAAUACACGCUUUGCACAGGUGCUGCAUGGCUGUCGUCAGCUCGUGUCGUGAGAUGUUGGGUUAAGUCCCGCAACGAGCGCAACCCUUGUGAACUGUUGCUACCCAGCACUUCGGUGUUGGGGCACUCUGUUCAGACUGCCCUGUGAAACGGGGAGGAAGGUGGGGAUGACGUCAAGUCCUCAUGGCCUUUAUGUCCAGGGCUACACACGUGCUACAAUGGCCGGUACAAACCGUCGCAAACUCGCGAGAGGGAGCUAAUCGGAAAAAGCCGGCCUCAGUUCGGAUUGGAGUCUGCAACUCGACUCCAUGAAGCUGGAAUCGCUAGUAAUCGCGGAUCAGCACGCCGCGGUGAAUACGUUCCCGGGCCUUGUACACACCGUAGAGAC